UGCAUAGCUCAGCCAGUAGAGAACGAGUCUCUUAAUCUCAUUGUCAUGGGUUCAAACCCCAGGCUGGGCAAAA